UACGAAGGGGGCUAGCGUUGCUCGGAAUUACUGGGCGUAAAGGGAGCGUAGGCGGACUGUUUAGUCAGAGGUGAAAGCCCAGGGCUCAACCUUGGAAUUGCCUUUGAUACUGGCAGUCUUGAGUACGGAAGAGGUAUGUGGAACUCCGAGUGUAGAGGUGAAAUUCGUAGAUAUUCGGAAGAACACCAGUGGCGAAGGCGACAUACUGGUCCGUUACUGACGCUGAGGCUCGAAAGCGUGGGGAGCAGACAGG
rnacentral:rRNA from 1 species